rnacentral:misc_RNA from 1 species
CUGAGUUAGGGUUCUAUAUGGCCCAACCUCCAAACCCUUUGUAUAUCCAUCCAAGCUUGCUUUGGUGGGUGAGAAAUGCCUACCAAAGUCCAAUAAAAAUCUAUAUCUUUAACAACAUUCGUCUGAUAACAUAUUAUGAAUAUACUUAAUUCAAAAUA